UAAAAAAAAAAUACGCUAUGAGAAACGGUUUUUACUGGGGUUGGUAGUAUCAGUGGAGGAUUCAAGGGAGGGAGGAGGGCGGGUGGCCCGCCUCCUCCCCCCUUGACAAUUAUAUUAUAUUUGUUGUGGUAAUUAUAUGAAUCGUUAUAAUGGUUAUAAAUCGUCGUUCAAAUUGCGGUCGACCAUCACUCGUUACGAUAGUCAAUAAUGUUGAUGCUAUUGAUUGUAAUCGUAUCUGUAUUUUACGUUUAGUGUUCAUUG